rnacentral:ncRNA from 1 species
GAACUGAUAAUUCGAUAGGUGGAACGAUGGGGUAACGCCCUGAAACGCCUAGUCUUGAUGGACAUGCGUCGACUGUAAAGGUCGGGGUGUGAAGCUCCAUGACAAAGGCUGAGAGUAGCCGUAAGGAACUGCCAUAAGUUCUACGAAAUCGUCCCAGAGGUGGGAUGUGCUACCUAUAAGCCGAGACUCUCUAA